rnacentral:misc_RNA from 1 species
UACGGGGGGGGCAAGCGUUGUUCGGAAUUACUGGGCGUAAAGCGCGUGUAGGCUGUUAGUUAAGUCGGGUGUGAAAUCCCUGGGCUCAACCGAGGAAGUGCAUUCGAAACUAACUAGCUAGAGAAUGGUAGAGGAAGGUGGAAUUCCUAGUGUAGAGGUGAAAUUCGUAGAUAUUAGGAGGAAUACCGGCGGCGAAGGCGGCCUUCUGGACCAUUUCUGACGCUGAGACGCGAAAGCGUGGGGAGCAAACAGG